rnacentral:misc_RNA from 1 species
GAUGAAGAACGUAGCGAAAUGCGAUAAGUAAUGUGAAUUGCAGAAUUCAGUGAAUCAUCGAAUCUUUGAACGCACAUUGCGCCCGCCAGUAUUCUGGCGGGCAUGCCUGUCCGAGCGUCAUUUCAACCAUCAAGCCCCGGGCUUGUGUUGGGGACCUGCGUCCGACGCAGGCCCUGAAAACCAGUGGCGGGCUCGCUGUCCACACCGAGCGUAGUAACUAACCUCGCUAUGGAGUGGCGCGGGCGCCUGCCGUAAAACCCCCAAUUUCACAAGGUUGACCUCGGAUCAGGUAGGAAUACCCGCUGAACUUAAGCAUAUCAAUAAGCGGGA